rnacentral:rRNA from 1 species
CCUACGGGAGGCUGCAGUGAGGAAUAUUGGUCAAUGGACGAGAGUCUGAACCAGCCAAGUAGCGUGAAGGAUGACUGCCCUAUGGGUUGUAAACUUCUUUUAUAUGGGAAUAAAAUGUUCCACGUGUGGGAUUUUGUAUGUACCAUAUGAAUAAGGAUCGGCUAACUCCGUGCCAGCAGCCGCGGUAAUACGGAGGAUCCGAGCGUUAUCCGGAUUUAUUGGGUUUAAAGGGAGCGUAGGUGGAUUGUUAAGUCAGUUGUGAAAGUUUUCGGCUCAACCGUAAAAUUGCAGUUGAAACUGGCAGUCGUGAGUACAGUAGAGGUGGGCGGAAUUCGUGGUGUAGCGGUGAAAUGCUUAGAUAUCACGAAGAACUCCGAUUGCGAAGGCAGCUCACUGGACUGCAACUGACACUGAGGCUCGAAAGUGUGGGUAUCAAACAGGAUUAGAUACCCCUGUAGUC